CUUCAUCAUCUGUGGUAGUCUAGGUCCGACGGAAUCCUCUCUCCGGCGAUCACUCACUCUCCACCAGCCAGCUCACAUUGUAAUUCCAAUCUUGCCGGCGAGCGACCCUAUCGGUGAACUCUCGAUGACCGACGCGGCUGUCUCCCACAUAGCUGUCGUCGCGGAACCACGAAGUCGUGCGCCUACGCUAGGCGAGGAAGGACGACAGGCGUCGGGGAUUGCCGGGAUCGGGGCUAUAUCCAGGAUCGGAGGCGGGGAACCUGGGUGGUGCUACUUCAUCUCGAUUCCCCAAUUCCUGGACGGCCGGACCUCUGCGCUCCGUGCCCAUGACGUGUUCGACGGAAGGCUUGCCUGAGCAGCGGAAGUCAGGGGAGGCAGGGAUAUAGUUGGUGAAGCGCGACGGGCGGCAGGAGGCUCUCCACUUCGCCAAGAUCAUGUCACGGCUCAAGAAGCUCAGCUACGGCCUCAGCCAGGAGCACGGCGACCCUGUCCUGGGCUUACAGAGAGGGACGCUAGCAGGUACUUCCAAUUCUGCCAGGACCAAGAUGGGGCAGAACAUGACGUCAGUGCAUAAUAGGCUCUCUUUGCUUGACAGCAACAAUAGCUGCAGAGGUUGACACAUUGAUGAUUAUGAUGAUUUUAAGCUGAUGCUAUGGUGGAGUUUAUGAAGAAGCUUGCUAGGAUGGAUAUGGAUAUGAGGGUCGAAGAGAAGCAUUCAUUUUCAGUUCGUUUUUAAGAAUACAAUUGGUGGAAGAAGGGCAUCAUGAAGAAUCCUUUCUUCAGUUGAGCAAAAUAUGACAGUUGGUGAGCUAGCUGGAUGAUAAUGUGUCCAGGAAAAAAAAUUGAGGAUGAACUAGGGAUGAUUUGCAAUGAAUUAUUGUCAAUCAUCGCUAUUCAAUGCAUUUCGUGGGCCAAUACGGUUGAAGAUGUUGUAGUCUUUUAUAAAAUGUGUAUGUAAGGUUCAUGAGUACAGCUCUUUCUACCGCAACCGUCGUGCAGUACUUUUCUCACAUUGGUCUAUUUUCCGAUCAUUGCAUUGAGAGUAUUGAUUGUUUUACAA